rnacentral:rRNA from 1 species
AGUGAACGCUGGCGGCGUGCCUAAUACAUGCAAGUCGAACGGAGUGGCGCACGGGUGAGUAAAGUAUAGAUAAUCUGCACUACAACAGAGGACAACAGUUGGAAACGACUGCUAAUACUCUAUAGUGUAGGAUGAGGCUAUAUUGUAUCAGCUAGUUGGUGAGGUAAUGGCUCACAAAGGCUAUGACGCAUAACUGGUCUGAGAGGAUGAUCAGUCACACUGGAACUGAGACACGGGCGAGACUCCUACGGGAGGCAACAGUAGGGUAUAUUGCCAAAUGGGGGAAACCGUGAAGCAGCAACGCCGCGUGGAGGAUGAUACUUUUCGGAGAGUAAACUCCUUUUGUUAGGAAAGCGGUACCUAACGAUUAAGCACCGGCUAACUCCGUGCCAGCAGCCGCGGUAAUUC